rnacentral:lncRNA from 1 species
UAGGAUUACCAUACAAAACCCAAGAAUCCUUGACUUUAAUAUUGAUUUAGACACAGCUUAUUCAUUAGACAAAUUUUUCAGACCUAAUUUUUCCUUCCUUGCAUUUCUGUAGAACUAAACACUGUAAUUUAGUCAAUGUAAUGGAUUUUUUUGGGGAGGGUGAUUACACUUAAGCAAAGAACCUAUUCAUGCUUACAUUGAAAAACACUCCAGAAGUCAGAAAAAAUCAUAUUUUUUCAGUGAAAUACAUAUUGUACAUAAUCACAAAAUACUAGGCUAUUAUAAGAUGAGCCAUUACAAGCAUGAAUAUAUGAGACAGAAAUCCCUUAGCACAAAUAUUUUUUACCAUUACAAACACUUUACAUUAGCUGCCCACCGAUUUUUUCCAUCCUGACAAACUUGUUUUAAUAGACUGCACAGUUCCCACCUCAUUUACUUAUCCACUGAAAUGAAAUGAAGAAGAAUUUAAAGGCCAGUAAUCUUUGAAAAUAUAGUUUACUGAAUUUAUUGCUGUUUUAAAUAAAAUGAAAUUAAAGAACCCUGUUCCUUGUUUUGAUUUCUGUUGAUCAUGAUACCAUGCACACAGUCACAAGAAGAACUUUUCCUGUCACAGGUGUUAUCACAUGAGGACACAAGGUUUCAUCUUAUUCAGUUUUUGAAGAAACAGAUCUUCAAAACCAGGACAGAAUAUGUCAAUCCAAUCAGCAAGUCAGUUUUUUCGCACCUGUACUGUACAAGCCACCUGUGAAGUUCUGCCUGUACCACUGAAUUUAAAAAGCAAAGGAUCUUCAGGAGUUUUUAUCUCUGCAUGGCUCUGGGUAGGGAUUUGAACAAAAAGGAAAACUGCAAAAGGAAAUUGGUUUGGACAAGAAGAGUUUCUAUACAUAACUCAUUAAUUUGAGGAUAAAGUGCAGUCUCUUAGAAACAAACAAAACAAAACAAAAACAAAAACAAACAAACAAAAAAACACAAAGCAAAAUAAAACAAAACAAAAAAAAAAAUGACCUGUGUAA